GGGAUAUUGGACAAUGGGGGGAACCCUGAUCCAGCGACGCCGCGUGAGUGAAGAAGUAUUUCGGUAUGUAAAGCUCUGUCAGCAGGGAAGAAAGCAAUGACGGUACCUGACCAAGAAGCCCCGGCUAACUACGUGCCAGCAGCCGCGGUAAUACGUAGGGGGCAAGCGUUAUCCGGAUUUACUGGGUGUAAAGGGAGCGUAGACGGCAGGGCAAGUCUGAAGUGAAAGCCCGGGGCCCAACCCCGGGACUGCUUUGGAAACUGUCCGGCUGGAGUGCAGGAGGGGUGGGCGGAAUUCCUAGUGUAGCGGUGAAAUGCGUAGAUAUUAGGAGGAACACCGGCGGCGAAGGCGGCCCACUGGACUGUAACUGACGUUGAGGCUCGAAAGCGUGGGGAGCAA
rnacentral:rRNA from 1 species